AGACAGAAGCCCAGAACUUAAACCUGGAAGCCUGGAGGAUGGAACGGGUACUAGCUUGCUAGGGUUCGUGUCCGGCGGCGGCGACUGCAGCUGGAACGCCGGCGGCGCAGCUCAGUGGAUGCUCCCAUCGACCAUUCCCAGGUUUGGUUCUCCCUCAUCCGGUCCUCCUCCAUGUCUCCAUGGCUGAAUCACUAUCGUUCUCUUCUCACGCACGUCAUGUUGUCAAAUCCAUCACUGGCUUUAGCUCCCGUGAUCUGAUCAACAGCAAAACGAACUCACUACACACUAUGCCACUAUGGCAUGGAGUUUAAUUAUGAGACAAUGUAAAGACUAGAGCGAGUCCACUAAUCACGGGUGGCCAAAGAAAUUCACCCGACCAGGCCUUCAGAGUUUAGUAUUUUACUAUUAUUCGUCACCACCCUGCUACAUGAUUACUUGUAUAUAAAUAGAGGGCACACGACACCAUCCUGUAGGUUGUAGUCUUGUGAUCUUGUCCUUGGAGGUACACACAAAGACUGGUAGACACAGACGACCUCUGCCGAUGGCUGGUGCCCCAAAAGCUCGACUUGUAUAUAAUUGCAAGUUAUAGAUUAUAUUGCAUACAGGUGACAUAUUAGUUUAUAUGUAUUUUUCAGUGUUUUUAUAUCUAAUUUUAGAGGAGCAGACUGUUCAACCAAUGAUGGCAGGUGGUCGUGUACUUGAUCCAUUUUGUACUCGCCUUGACCCUACCAUGGUAGAAGCACUGGUCUGCACCAAAGAUUGGAUAGCUGGAGCAAGAAAAGGUUAUAUAGUAGUACCUUAUAUUUAUUUACAAUUUAAUUAGUCAUUAGUUGUGAUCAAUUUGUAAUAUUGUGAACUUGUGAUCUUUGUGAUCAACCUGUUAUAUUGUGAACUUGUGAUCUUUGUGUUCAACUUGUUAUACUGUGAAUUGUGAAUUUGUGGUCUUUGUGAUAUUUGUAAACUUUGUUGUAUUGUGAACUUGUUAUAUUGAGAUAUUUUCAU
rnacentral:lncRNA from 7 species